CAAUAGCGUAUAUUAAAGUUGUUGCAGUUAAAAGCUCGUAGUUGGAUUUCGGAGCCGACCGGGCGGUCUGUCGAGAGACACGCACUGCUCGGUGGCUCUUCCUCUCGGAGGCCCUGGCUGCCCUUAACUGGAGCGGGCAGGGGAUUCGGGACGUUUACUUUGAAAAAUUAGAGUGUUCAAAGCAGGCCGGUGCUUGGAUACAUUAGCAUGGAAUAAUGGAAUAGGGCUUGGGUCCUAUUUUGUUGGUUUUCGGGACCGAGGUCAUGGUUAAGAGGGACAGUUGGGGGCAUUCGUAUUCAAUUGUCAGAGGUAGAAAUUCUUGGAUUUAUGGAAGACGAACAACUGCGAAAGCAUUUGCCAAGGAUUGUUUUCAUUAAUCAAGAACGAAAGGUUGGGGGUUCGAAGAUGAUCAGAUACCAU
rnacentral:rRNA from 1 species